rnacentral:lncRNA from 1 species
UUGGCCAUUUUUCCGCUGGGGGGUCUUGGCACCCCGACCUUCGGGGGCUAAUUUUUGGGCGCGGCUGUGCCCGUGGCCUAUGUUUGGCACACGGAGGCCGCCCGCAAAGUCUGGGGCCAUUCCGAGUCCGGCGGACGAACUUCGCCCACGACCCCAACCAGGCUAUAGCCCACCCGUUUUUUGGCCAUUUUUCCGCUGGGGGGUCUUGGCGCCCCGACCUUCGGGGGCUAAUUUUUGGGCGCGGCUGUGUCCGUGGCCUAUUUUUGGCACACGGAGGCCGCCCGCAAAGUCUGGGGCCAUUCCGAGUCCGGCGGACGAACUUCGCCCACGCCCCCAACAAGGCUAUAGCCCACCCGUUUGUUGGCCAUUUUUCCGCUGGGGGGUCUUGGCAGCCCGACCUUCGGGGGCUAAUUUUUUGGCGCGGCUGUGCCCGUGGCCUAUUUUUGGCACACGGAGGCCGCCCGCAAAGUCUGGGGCCAUUCCGUGUCCGGCGGACAAACUUCGCCCACGCCCCCCGCCAAGGCUAUAGCCCACCCGUUUUUUGGCCAUUUUUCCGCUGGGGGGUCUAGGCUCCCCGACCUUCGGGGGCUAAUUUUUGGGCGCGGCUGUGCCCGUGGCCUAUUUUUGGCACACGGAGGCCGCCCGCAAAGUCUGGGUCCAUUCCGAGUCCGGCGGACGAACUUCGCCCACGCCCCCCGCCAAGGCUAUAGCCCACCCGUUUUUUGGCCAUUUUUCCGCUGGGGGGUCUUGGCAGCCCGACCUUCGGGGGCUAAUUUUUGGGCGCGGCUGUGCCCGUGGCCUAUUUUUGGCACACGGAGGCCGCCCGCAAAGUCUGGGGCCAUUCCGAGUCCGGCGGACGAAGUUCGCCCACGCCCCCAACAAGGCUAUAGCCCACCCGUUUGUUGGCCAUUUUUCCGCUGGGGGGUCUUGGCAGCCCGACCGUCGGGGGCUAAUUUUUGGGCGCGGCUGUGUCCGUGGGCUAUUUUUGGCACACGGAGGCCGCCCGCAAAGUCUGGGGCCAUUCCGAGUCCGGCGGACGAACUUCUCCCACGCCCCCAACAAGGCUAUAGCCCACCCGUUUUUUGGCCAUUUUUCCGCUGGGGGGUCUUGGCAGCCCGACCUUCGGGGGCUAAUUUUUGGGCGCGGCUGUGCCCGUGGCCUAUUUUUGGCACACGGAGGCCGCCCGCAAAGUCUGGGGCCAUUCCGAGUCCGGCGGACGAACUUCGCCCACGCCCCCCACCAAGGCUAUAGCCCACCCGUUUUUUGGCCAUUUUUCCGCUGGGGGGUCUUGGCAGCCCGACCUUCGGGGGCUAAUUUUUGGGCGCGGCUGUGCCCGUGGCCUAUUUUUGGCACACGGAGGCCGCCCGCAAAGUCUGGGGCCAUUCCGAGUCCGGCGGACGAACUUCGCCCACGCCCCCAACAAGGCUAUAACCCACUCGUUUUUUGGCCAUUUUUUCGCUGGGGGGGUCUUGGCCGGCCCGACCUUCGGGGGGCUAAUUUUUUGGGCGCGGCUGUGCCCGUGGCCUAUUUUUGGCAGACGGAGGCCGCCCGCAAAGUCUGGGGCCAUUUCGAGUCCGGCGGACGAACUUCGCCCACGCCCCCCGCCAAGGCUAUAGACCACCCGUUUUUUGGCCAUUUUUCCGAUGGGGGGUCUUGGCGCCCCGACCUUCGGGGGCUAAUUUUUGGGCGCGGCUGUGCCCGUGGCCUAUUUUUGGCACACUGAGGCCGCCCGCAAAGUCUGGGGCCAUUCCGAGUCCGGCGGACGAACUUCGCCCACGCCCCCCGCCAAGGCUAUAGCCCACCCGUUUUUUGGCCAUUUUUCCGCUGGGGGGUCUUGGCACCCCGACCUUCGGGGGCUAAUUUUUGGGCGCGGCUGUGCCCGUGGCCUAUUUUUGGCACACGGAGGCCGCCCGCAAAGUCUGGGGCCAUUCCGAGUCCGGCGGACGAACUUCGCCCACGCCCCCAACAAGGCUAUAGCCCACCCGUUUUUUGGCCAUUUUUCCGCUGGGGUGUCUUGGCGGCCCAACCUUCGGGGGCUAAUUUUUGGGCGCGGCUGUGCCCGUGGCCUAUUUUUGGCACACGGAGGCCGCCCGCAAAUUCUGGGGCCAUUCCGAGUCCGGCGGACGAACUUCGCCCACGCCCCCAACCAGGCUAUAGCCCACCCGUUUUUUGGCCAUUUAUCCGCGGGGGGGUCUUGGCGCCCCGACCUUGGGGGGUAAUUUUUGGGCGCGGCUGUGACCGUGGCUUAUUUUGGCACACGGAGGCCGCCCGCAAAGUCUGGGGCCAUUCCGAGUCCGGCGGACGAACUUCGCCCACGCCCCACGCCAAGGCUAUAGCCCACCCGUUUCUUGGCCAUUUUUCCGCUGGGGGGUCUUGGCAGCCCGACCUUCGGGAGCUAAUUUUUGGUCACGGCUGUGCCCGUGGCCUAUUUUUCGCACACGGAGGCCGCCCGCAAAGUCUGGGGCCAUUCCGAGUCCGGCGGACGAACUUCGCCCACGCCCCCCACCAAGGCUAUAGCCCACCCGUUUUUUGGCCAUUUUUCCGCUGGGGGGUCUUGGCGCCCCGACCUUCGGGGGCUAAUUUUUGGGCGCGGCUGUGCCCGUGGCCUAUUUUUGGCACACGGAGGCCGCCCGCAAAGUCUGGGGCCAUUCCGAGUCCGGCGGACGAACUUCGCCCACGCCCCCAACCAGGCUAUAGCCCACCCGUUUUUUGGCCAUUUUUCCGCUGGGGGGUCUUGGCGCCCCGACCUUCGGGGGCUAAUUUUUGGGCGCGGCUGUGACCGUGGCCUAUUUUUGGCACACGGAGGCCGCCCGCAAAGUCUGGGGCCAUUCCGAGUCCGGCGGACGAACUUCGCCCACGCCCCCAACGAGGCUAUAGCCCACCCGUUUUUUGGCCAUUUUUCCGCUGGGGGGUCUUGGCAGCCCGACCUUCGGGGGCUAAUUUUUUGGCGCGGCUGUGCCCGUGGCGUAUUUUUGGCACAAGGAGGCCGCCCGCAAAGUCUGGGGCCAUUCCGAUUCCGGCGAGCGAACUUCGCCCACGCCCCCAACAAGGCUAUAGCCCACCCGUUUUUUGGCCAUUUUUCCGCUGGGGUGUCUUGGCGGCCCAACCUUCGGGGGCUAAUUUUUGGGCGCGGCUGUGCCCGUGGCCUAUUUUUGGCACACGGAGGCCGCCCGCAAAUUCUGGGGCCAUUCCGAGUCCGGCGGACGAACUUCGCCCACGCCCCCAACCAGGCUAUAGCCCACCCGUUUUUUGGCCAUUUUUCCGCUGGGGGGUCUUGGCGCCCCGACCUUCGGGGGCUAAUUUUUGGGCACGGCUGUGACCGUGGCCUAUUUUUGGCACACGGAGGCCGCCCGCAAAGUCUGGGGCCAUUCCGAGUCCGGCGGACGAACUUCGCCCACGCCCCCCGCCAAGGCUAUAGCCCACCCGUUUUUUGGCCAUUUUUCCGCGUGGGGGGUCUGGGCACCCCGACCUUCGGGGGCUAAUUUUUGGCCACGGCUGUGCCCGUGGCCUAUUUUUGGCACACGGAGUCCGCCCGCAAAGUUAGGGACCAUUCCGAGUCGGGCGGAGGAGCUUCCCUCACCCCCCCAACAAGGCUAUAGACCACCCGUAUUUUGACCAUUUUUCAGCUGGGGGGUCUUGGCCCCCCCGACCUUCGGGAGUUAAUUUUUGGGCGCGGCUGUGCCCGUGGCAUAUUUUUGGCACACGGAGGCCGUCCGCAAAGUCUGGGGCCAUUCCGAGUCCGGCGGACGAACUUCGCCCACGCCCCCCACCAAGGCUAUAGCCCACCCGUUUUUUGGCCAUUUUUCCGCUGAGGGUUCUUGGCGCCCCGACCUUCGGGGGCUAAUUUUUGGGCGCGGCUGUGCCCGUGGCCUAUUUUUGGCACACGGAGGCCGCCCGCAAAGUCUGGGGCCAUUCCGAGUCCGGCGGACGAACUUCGCCCACGCCCCCCGCCAAGGCUAUAGCCCACCCGUUUUUUGGCCAUUUUCCGCUGGGGGGUCUAGGCGCCCCGACCUUCGGGGGCUAAUUUUUGGGCGCGGCAGUGCCCGUGGCCUAUUUUUGGCACACGGAGGCCGCCCGCAAAGUCUGGGGCCAUUCCGAGUCCGGCGGACGAACUUCGCCCACGCCCCCCGCCAAGGCUAUAGCCCACCCGUUUUUUGGCCAUUUUUCCGCUGGGGGGUCUUGGCACCCCGACCUUCGGGGGCUAAUUUUUGGGCGCGGCUGUGCCCGUGGCCUAUUUUUGGCACACGGAGGCCGCCCGCAAAGUCUGGGGCCAUUCCGAGUCCGGCGGAUGAACUUCGCCCACGACCCCAACCAGGCUAUAGCCCACCCGUUUUUUGGCCAUUUUUCCGCUGGGGGGUCUUGGCGCCCCGACCUUCGGGGGCUAAUUUUUGGGCGCGGCAGUGCCCGUGGCCUAUUUUUGGCACACGGAGGCCGCCCGCAAAGUCUGGGGCCAUUCCGAGUCCGGCGGACGAACUUCGCCCACGCCCCCCGCCAAGGCUAUAGCCCACCCGUUUUUUGGCCAUUUUUCCGCUGGAGGGUCUUGGCGCCCCGACCUUUGGGGGCUAAUUUUUGGGCACGGCUGUGCCCGUGGCCUAUUUUUGGCACACGGAGGCCGCCCGCAAAGUCUGGGGCCAUUCCGAGUCCGGCGGACGAACUUCGCCCACGCCCCCAACAAGGCUAUAGCCCACCCGUUUUUUGGCCAUUUUUCCGCUCGGGUGUCUUGGCGGCCCAACCUUCGGGGGCUAAUUUUUGGGCGCGGCUGUGCCCGUGGCCUAUUUAUGGCACACGGAGGCCGCCCGCAAAGUCUGGGGCCAUUCCGAGUCCGGCGGACGAACUUCGCCCACGCCCCCAACCAGGCUAUAGCCCACCCGUUUUUUGGCCAUUUUUCUGCUGGGGGGUCUUGGCGCCCCGACCUUCGGGGGCUAAUUUUUGGGCGCGGCUGUGACCGUGGCCUAUUUUUGGCACACGGAGGCCGCCCGCAAAGUCUGGGGCCAUUCCGAGUCCGGCGGACGAACUUCGCCCACGCCCCACGCCAAGGCUAUAGCCCACCCGUUUUUUGGCCAUUUUUCCGCUGGGGGGUCUUGGCAGCCCGACCUUCGGGAGCUAAUUUUUGGUCACGGCUGUGCCCGUGGCCUAUUUUUCGCACACGGAGGCCGCCCGCAAAGUCUGGGGCCAUUCCGAGUCCGGCGGACGAACUUCGCCCACGCCCCCCACCAAGGCUAUAGCCCACCCGUUUUUUGGCCAUUUUUCCGCUGGGGGGUCUUGGCGCCCCGACCUUCGGGGGCUAAUUUUUGGGCGCGGCUGUGCCCGUGGCCUAUUUUUGGCACACGGAGGCCGCCCGCAAAGUCUGGGGCCAUUCCGAGUCCGGCGGAUGAACUUCGCCCACGACCCCAACCAGGCUAUAGCCCACCCGUUUUUUGGCCAUUUUUCCGCUGGGGGGUCUUGGCGCCCCGACCUUCGGGGGCUAAUUUUUGGGCGCGGCUGUGCCCGUGGCCUAUUUUUGGCACACGGAGGCCGCCCGCAAAGUCUGGGGCCAUUCCGAGUCCGGCGGACGAACUUCGCCCACGCCCCCAACAAGGCUAUAGCCCACCCGUUUGUUGGCCAUUUUUCCGCUGGGGGGUCUUGGCAGCCCGACCUUCGGGGGCUAAUUUUUUGGCGCGGCUGUGCCCGUGGCCUAUUUUUGGCACACGGAGGCCGCCCGCAAAGUCUGGGGCCAUUCCGUGUCCGGCGGACAAACUUCGCCCACGCCCCCCGCCAAGGCUAUAGCCCACCCGUUUUUUGGCCAUUUUUCCGCUGGGGGGUCUAGGCUCCCCGACCUUCGGGGGCUAAUUUUUGGGCGCGGCUGUGCCCGUGGCCUAUUUUUGGCACACGGAGGCCGCCCGCAAAGUCUGGGUCCAUUCCGAGUCCGGCGGACGAACUUCGCCCACGCCCCCCGCCAAGGCUAUAGCCCACCCGUUUUUUGGCCAUUUUUCCGCUGGGGGGUCUUGGCAGCCCGACCUUCGGGGGCUAAUUUUUGGGCGCGGCUGUGCCCGUGGCCUAUUUUUGGCACACGGAGGCCGCCCGCAAAGUCUGGGGCCAUUCCGAGUCCGGCGGACGAACUUCGCCCACGCCCCCAACAAGGCUAUAGCCCACCCGUUUUUUGGCCAUUUUUCCGCUGGGGUGUCUUGGCGGCCCAACCUUCGGGGGCUAAUUUUUGGGCGCGGCUGUGCCCGUGGCCUAUUUUUGGCACACGGAGGCCGCCCGCAAAUUCUGGGGCCAUUCCGAGUCCGGCGGACGAACUUCGCCCACGCCCCCAACCAGGCUAUAGCCCACCCGUUUUUUGGCCAUUUUUCCGCUGGGGGGUCUUGGCGCCCCGACCUUCGGGGGCUAAUUUUUGGGCGCGGCUGUGACCGUGGCCUAUUUUUGGCACACGGAGGCCGCCCGCAAAGUCUGGGGCCAUUCCGAGUCCGGCGGACGAACUUCGCCCACGCCCCACGCCAAGGCUAUAGCCCACCCGUUUUUUGGCCAUUUUUCCGCUGGGGGGUCUUGGCAGCCCGACCUUCGGGAGCUAAUUUUUGGUCACGGCUGUGCCCGUGGCCUAUUUUUCGCACACGGAGGCCGCCCGCAAAGUCUGGGGCCAUUCCGAGUCCGGCGGACGAACUUCGCCCACGCCCCCAACCAGGCUAUAGCCCACCCGUUUUUUGGCCAUUUUUCCGCUGGGGGGUCUUGGCGGCCCGACCUUCNNNNNNNNNNNNNNNNNNNNNNNNNNNNNNNNNNNNNNNNNNNNNNNNNNNNNNNNNNNNNNNNNNNNNNNNNNNNNNNNNNNNNNNNNNNNNNNNNNNNUCGCCCACGCCCCCCACCAAGGGUAUAGCCCACCCGUUUUUUGGCCAUUUUUCCGCUGGGGGGUCUUGGCGCCCCGACCUUCGGGGGCUAAUUUUUUGGCGCGGCAGUGCCCGUGGCCUAUUUUAGGCACACGGAGGCCGCCCGCAAAGUCUGGGGGCCAUUCCGAGUCCGGCGGACGAACUUCGCCCACGCCCCCCGCCAAGGCUAUAGCCCACCCGUUUUUUGGCCAUUUUUCCGCUGGGGGGUCUUGGCACCCCGACCUUCGGGGGCUAAUUUUUGGGCGCGGCUGUGCCCGUGGCCUAUUUUUGGCACACGGAGGCCGCCCGCAAAGUCUGGGGCCAUUCCGAGUCCGGCGGACGAACUUCGCCCACGACCCCAACCAGGCUAUAGCCCACCCGUUUUUUGGCCAUUUUUCCGCUGGGGGGUCUUGGCGCCCCGACCUUCGGAGGCUAAUUUUUGGGCGCGGCUGUGCCCGUGGCCUAUUUUUGGCACACGGAGGCCGCCCGCAAAGUCUGGGGCCAUUCCGAGUCCGGCGGACGAAC